AAUAGAUACCCUGGUAGUCCACGCCGUAAACGAUGGGUACUAGGUGUAGGGGUUUCGAUACCUCUGUGCCGCCGUUAACACAAUAAGUACCCCGCCUGGGGAGUACGGUCGCAAGAUUAAAACUCAAAGGAAUUGACGGGGGCCCGCACAAGCAGCGGAGCAUGUGGUUUAAUUCGAAGCAACGCGAAGAACCUUACCUAGACUUGACAUCUCCUGGAUUACCCUUAAUCGGGGAAGUCCCUUCGGGGACAGGAAGACAGGUGGUGCAUGGUUGUCGUCAGCUCGUGUCGUGAGAUGUUGGGUUAAGUCCCGCAACGAGCGCAACCCUUAUUGUUAGUUGCUACCAUUUAGUUGAGCACUCUAGCGAGACUGCCCGGGUUAACCGGGAGGAAGGUGGGGAUGACGUCAAAUCAUCAUGCCCCUUAUGUCUAGGGCUACACACGUGCUACAAUGGUGAGUACAAAAGAUGCAAGACCGUGAGGUGGAGCCAAACUUUUAAAACUCAUCCCAGUUCGGAUUGUAGGCUGAAACUCGCCAACAUGAAGCCGGAGUUGCUAGU
rnacentral:rRNA from 1 species